rnacentral:rRNA from 1 species
UACGUAGGGUGCAAGCGUUAAUCGGAAUUACUGGGCGUAAAGCGUGCGCAGGCGGUUCGCUAAGACAGAUGUGAAAUCCCCGGGCUUAACCUGGGAACUGCAUUUGUGACUGGCGGGCUAGAGUAUGGCAGAGGGGGGUAGAAUUCCACGUGUAGCAGUGAAAUGCGUAGAGAUGUGGAGGAAUACCGAUGGCGAAGGCAGCGCCCUGGACCAAUACUGACGCUGAGGCACGAAAGCGUGGGGAGCAAACAGG